rnacentral:rRNA from 1 species
UACCAUAAUUUCACUCGACCCCUUUAAUUGUACUGAGAACUUCUAUAAAAUUAUAGAACUUUUUAUGCUAGAACUAGUAACAAGAGGUAAAACCUCUCUAUAAUGCAAGUAUAAGCCAGCAAGAAUCCGUCACUGUCAACUAACAGACCUAAACAAAAGUAGCAACCUACCCAGAAAACCCUACCUACCUUAACUGUUAACCUAAUACUAGAGCAUUUCAAGAAAGAUUAAAAGAAAGAGAAGGAACUCGGCAAAUAUUAGCCCCGCCUGUUUACCAAAAACAUCGCCUCUUGCUAUUAUAAGAGGUCUAGCCUGCCCAGUGACUUCUGUUCAACGGCCGCGGUAUCCUAACCGUGCGAAGGUAGCGUAAUCACUUGUCUUCUAAAUAGAGACCAGUAUGAAAGGCAUCACGAGGGCUAAACUGUCUCCUCCCCCUAAUCAGUGAACCUAAUCCCCCCGUGAAGAAGCGGGGAUUUUUUUAUAAGACGAGAAGACCCUAUGGAGCUUAAAACAUCACACACCUGCUGCUAUUUUUUAUUUACCCAGGUAUUUCCCCCCCCCGGCAGGCUGAUUAAAUGUUUUUGGUUGGGGUGACCGUGGAGAAAAAUUUAUCCUCCACAAUGAAAGGAAUUACUCCUAAACAGCAAGCUACAACUUUAUGUAUCAGCAAACUGACAUCCAUUGACCCAAUAUAUUGAUUAACGAACCAAGUUACCCUAGGGAUAACAGCGCAAUCCACUUUGAGAGCCCCUAUCGACAAGUGGGCUUACGACCUCGAUGUUGGAUCGGGGUAUCCUAGUGGUGCAGCCG